rnacentral:rRNA from 1 species
AUUGAACGCUGGCGGAAUGCUUUACACAUGCAAGUCGAACGGUAGAGGGGGCAACCCCUUGAGAGUGGCGAACGGGUGAGUAAUAUAUCGGAACGUGCCCAGUCGUGGGGAUAACGUAGCGAAAGUUACGCUAAUACCGCAUACGAUCUAAGGAUGAAAGCGGGGGAUCGCAAGACCUCGCGCGAUUGGAGCGGCCGAUAUCAGAUUAGGUAGUUGGUGAGGUAAAGGCUCACCAAGCCAACGAUCUGUAGCUGGUCUGAGAGGACGACCAGCCACACUGGAACUGAGACACGGUCCAGACUCCUACGGGAGGCAGCAGUGGGGAAUUUUGGACAAUGGACGCAAGUCUGAUCCAGCCAUCCGUCGUGCAGGAGUGAAGGACCCGUCCGGGUUCGGUUAAACG